GUAAAGCCAGAUCUCAGCAGUCAAGGUCAAGUGAGUGAGGCAUACCCCGCAACGAUGGCGUCGGCCUCGGAGCGUGGGCGAAGCGUGCCGCCGGAGGACCCCGGCCUUCUUAGGAGACGGAGACGACAGCCCGGUGACGACAGGAGCUUCCCAGAGGGUGAGCCGGCCUUCUGUUGUGCCUGAGGAGGAUUCCCAUCUCCAGAUGUCUGAGAGAUAAGUUGAGGGCUACAAUCCACUGAGGGAAUGAAUGUGAGGUGUUGGGGCAGGGCUUGCCGGGAGGGAUUUUUGAGUCAGCU